rnacentral:piRNA from 2 species
UACUGGAUGAAACAUGGUUGAGCGCCUGUAU